rnacentral:rRNA from 1 species
AAUCAACGCUGGCGGCGUGCCUCAGACAUGCAAGUCGAACGAUUAAAGCUCUCUUCGGAGAGUGCAUAAAGUGGCGCACGGGUGAGUAACACGUAAGUAAUCUACCUUCGAGUGGGGAAUAACAUCGGGAAACCGAUGCUAAUACCGCAUAAUGCAGCGGCAUCGCAAGAUGACAGUUGUUAAAGAUUUAUCGCUUGAAGAGGAGCUUGCGGCAGAUUAGCUAGUUGGUAAGGUAAUGGCUUACCAAGGCUACGAUCUGUAACCGGUCUAAGAGGACGGUCGGUCACACUGACACUGAAUAACGGGUCAGACUCCUACGGGAGGCAGCAGUCGGGAAUUUUGGGCAAUGGGCGAAAGCCUGACCCAGCAACGCCGCGUGAAGGAUGAAGUAUUUCGGUAUGUAAACUUCGAAAGAAUAGGAAGAAUAAUGACGGUACUAUUUAUAAGGUCCGGCUAACUACGUGCCAGCAGCCGCCGUAAU